rnacentral:lncRNA from 1 species
CAGCAAUAUUAAACUCUUUAACAUUGAAGAUAAAGCCCACAUUGUAGUUCCCUUCCCCACAUUCUCAAACCCUGCGAACUCGUUGCUGGGGUGCUGCUGUGAUUCCAAAUUCCAGUAUGGCUGACUCACCAUAUUUUAAAGAGGAAGAAGAAGAAGAACAGAUUGAAGAAACAAAAUUUGGUAAUCAAUCUCUCUUCCUUAAUCUUAUUAUUUAUGUUUUGAUAGUUAAUUAUGCAAAUAGCAAGAUUAGAUAUGGUGGUUGGAUUCAAAAACUGCGUGAAUGUUUCUGAUUGCUGUAGGCUAUAGCAUUCCAGACUAUAAUUUAAUUUUAAGCUCUUGAGUCCUUCCUUGUUUGUCAUUAUCUUUGAUUCUUUUUUAUGUUGAUGAUUAAUGGUUUGAAAAAAGAAUGAUAGAUUUAUUUUCGUUGGAUCAAAAAAGGUCAGUUUCUUAUCACAUUUGAAAUUUUUUUUCUGAAUUUUUGAUCUCUCAAGAACUAAUUUUUUUAGUUAUUUAUUUUGAUUUUGAUUUCAGUUGAACGAAGCACUGAAGCAAACUUUCCAGGUUUGCCAUUUUUACUUCUGUGCUGUACUUUUAUUGAAUGAAGAAAAAAGGAAUUGAUCCUUUCGAAUUUUAGUUUGAUCCAAGUGCUUCAAGUGAUUGUUGACUUGGGUUUUUACUUGUAAAAGUUUCAGUACUUGUUUCUUAUCGUACAUGUAAAAGUCUCAGUACUUUCCAUUAUUUAUGCAAGCUUUGUUUGAUUUGUUGGAAGUUGGGUUGGAUAUAGUCCGAUUCGGUUCAAUUCUUGUUAGAAUCAAACGAACUCGAAAUUCUCGGGUAUUUAAUAAGUG